GGCCUGGUGGCGAAGUUGGUUAACGCUGCGGUCUGCAAAACCGCUAUUCGCGGGUUCGAAUCCCGCCCAGGCCUCCA
rnacentral:tRNA from 1 species